AUUGAACGCUGGCGGCAGGCCUAACACAUGCAAGUCGAGCGGAGCGGCGGACGGGGGAGUAAGGCCUAGGAAGCUGCAUGGGAGUAGGGGAUAAAGUAGGGAAAGGGGAGCUAAGACAGCAGAAUAGCAGAUGAGCCUAGGUAGGAUUAGCUAGUUGGUGGGGUAAAGGCCUACCAAGGCGACGAUCCGUAACUGGUCUGAGAGGAUGAUCAGUCACACUGGAACUGAGACACGGUCCAGACUCCUACGGGAGGCAGCAGUGGGGAAUAUUGGACAAUGGGCGAAAGCCUGAUCCAGCCAUGCCGCGUGUGUGAAGAAGGUCUUCGGAUUGUAAAGCACUUUAAUUUGGGAGGCGUUACCAACAGAAUAAGCACCGGCUAACUUCGUGCCAGCCGCCGCGGUAAUUC
rnacentral:rRNA from 1 species